AAAUCCUCUCUCUGUAACCUCACCUACUCCAUGUGAGAUGGCUGAUAUGAUUGAAAGACUACUUGGGAAAGCCUAUUUAUUUGGAGGUCAACUGUAAGAAAGUGUGCUAACAGAAGUAAGCUACAUUCCCUAUCAGCUUGCUAUUCAGCCCAAUGCAUUUAUAAAUUUCCUGACUGAAGCCACUGAAAGAGCUAGAAGGUAUCUGGGCUCACUACUUAGCACUUCACACUGGCUGCAUGUUGGCACAGGCCAUGAAGGCCCUGAAAAUGAAAGAGCGACUGACUGCCUAGAACACAUCAAGUGACCGUGUGACCAGAGACACCCAUGAUGAGCUGGAUUCUGUCAGACUCACCAAGC